rnacentral:rRNA from 1 species
UUAGUGAAUAUAGGACGUCCAACUUAACUUGGAGUCCGAACUCUCACUUUCUAACCCUGUGCACUUGUUUGGGAUAGUAACUCUCGCAAGAGAGCGAACUCCUAUUCACUUAUAAACACAAAGUCUAUGAAUGUAUUAAAUUUUAUAACAAAAUAAAACUUUCAACAACGGAUCUCUUGGCUCUCGCAUCGAUGAAGAACGCAGCGAAAUGCGAUAAGUAAUGUGAAUUGCAGAAUUCAGUGAAUCAUCGAAUCUUUGAACGCACCUUGCGCUCCAUGGUAUUCCGUGGAGCAUGCCUGUUUGAGUGUCAUGAAUACUUCAACCCUCCUCUUUCUUAAUGAUUGAAGAGGUGUUUGGUUUCUGAGCGCUGCUGGCCUUUACGGUCUAGCUCGUUCGUAAUGCAUUAGCAUCCGCAAUCGAACUUCGGAUUGACUUGGCGUAAUAGACUAUUCGCUGAGGAAUUCUAGUCUUCGGAUUAGAGCCGGGUUGGGUUAAAGGAAGCUUCUAAUCAGAAUGUCUACAUUUUAAGAUUAGAUCUCAAAUCAGGUAGGACUACCCGCUGAACUUAAGCAUAUCAAUAAGCGGAGGAAAAGAAACUAACAAGGAUUCCCCUAGUAGCGGCGAGCGAAGCGGGAAGAGCUCAAAUUUAUAAUCUGGCACCUUCGGUGUCCGAGUUGUAAUCUCUAGAAAUGUUUUCCGCGUUGGACCGCACACAAGUCUGUUGGAAUACAGCGGCAUAGUGGUGAGACCCCCGUAUAUGGUGCGGACGCCCAGCGCUUUGUGAUACAUUUUCGAAGAGUCGAGUUGUUUGGGAAUGCAGCUCAAAUUGGGUGGUAAAUUCCAUCUAAAGCUAAAUAUUGGCGAGAGACCGAUAGCGAACAAGUACCGUGAGGGAAAGAUGAAAAGCACUUUGGAAAGAGAGUUAACAGUACGUGAAAUUGUUGGAAGGGAAACGCUUGAAGUCAGACUUGCUUGCCGAGCAAUCGGUUUGCAGGCCAGCAUCAGUUUUCCGGGAUGGAUAAUGGUAGAGAGAAGGUAGCAGUUUCGGCUGUGUUAUAGCUCUCUGCUGGAUACAUCUUGGGGGACUGAGGAACGCAGUGUGCCUUUGGCGGGGGUUUCGACCUCUUCA